rnacentral:rRNA from 1 species
UACGAAGGGGGCUAGCGUUGUUCGGAAUCACUGGGCGUAAAGGGCGCGUAGGCGGCCGAUCAAGUCGGGGGUGAAAGCCUGUGGCUUAACCACAGAAUGGCCUCGAUACUGUUUGGCUUGAGACCGGAAGAGGUUAGUGGAACUGCGAGUGUAGAGGUGAAAUUCGUAGAUAUUCGCAAGAACACCAGUGGCGAAGGCGGCUUACUGGUCCGGAACUGACGCUGAGGUGCGAAAGCGUGGGGAGCAAACAGG